GCNNGGGCGGGCCCUGCGGUAGGGCACGCCCUCCCCGCGGCGCCUGCGCGCUGAGGCCCCGCCCCAGCACGGCUGCCGCGGUCACGUGCGAGCGGGGCGGGGUCACGUGCGCUCCCGCUCGCGCUGGCCCGGCCCGGCCCGGCCUGGCCCGGUCCCUGUCCCGGUCCCUGUCCCUGUCCCGGUCUCGCUCCGGCAGGCUCGCAAUCCAGACCCAGUUCUUCUCUCCUCACCUCCUCCGUCUCCCGCAGCCCCUCGCCGCUGGGCCGGCCCCUCGCGUGGCUCCUGGCCUUGAGAGCCCGGCCCCGCUCGGGUGUGAGCCCGCUCAGUGUCCAGGCACAGGGCACCCGAUGCUCAGAGGGCACCCGUCCAGCCCAGCAUCAUGCUCAACAUCAGCAAGGAGCACCAGGGCCCCACAGCUGAUCUGCACGACCUCUCUGCACACAGCAGCGCGUGUCCGUGUUGUGUGCCUGGAUUGCCCUGGGGUCCCGGUGCUGUGCGGAGCGCUGCAGUGAAACCCUGGACAGCUCUUCCCGCUGGUGAGGCACACUGCUGCACGGCGUGAGCGUAAACUGACCCUGUGCAACCUCCUGCUUGUCCCCGGCACUGGCGGCACCUCGCAGCACCGGGCUCGCUCACGUCAGCGGCCGUGCACCCCACGGGCACCCACACCUCGCAGGGCCUGACCCCGGGGAGUGCCCAGCAGCCAGACCCCAGGGCAGGCAUGUCACAGCGUGUCGGCUGCGCUCGCGUAGGCUGAGCACAGGGCCCGAGGGACACGGGGUACAGAGGGACACGGGGCACUCAGGGACAUGGGGCACUCGGGGGACACGCCGGGCGCAGCCCCGCACCCCGCGGUGGCAGGUCCGUCCGGCAGGGGGCAGCAGCGCCCCAGCCAGGUGAGCGGAGCUGGGACCGAGCUGGGACCGGGCUGGGACCGGGCUGGGACCGAACUGGGAACGGGCUGGGAUUGAGCUGGGACCGAACUGGGAACGGGCUGGGAUUGAGCUGGGACCGGGCUGGGACCGCGCUGGGAUCGGGCUGAGACUGAGCUGGGACCGGGCUGGGACUGAGCUGGGAACGGGCUGGGACCGAACUGGGAACGGGCUGGGACCGAGCUGGGACCAAAGUGCGACUGAGCGGCACCGGCAGUAGGUGUUAUGGACGCACACUCGGGCAGACCGCACACACCGAUAGCUCCAGGGACAGGGCACACUCACCUUAGGGCUGAAACACCCGUUUCAUAUCCAUUGUCCGGGCUAGACUUUCAUACUGGCCCUUUGCUGUUUACUGACCCAUAACCUGCACUUCAACUCAACACGAGUUUUAUUUUCUGUAGAAAACCUUAAAACCCAAACUUUGUUGAUCUCUGAGAGUCAAGACAGAAAUGGUUUAAUCCUUCCAUUGUACAAAAAGGGAAGAAUGCCUGAACUGAGGAAGUACGGAACUACUGAAACCUUUGGUAGCAGGUCACUGUUGGACACAUGGGGAAUGCACACAGCACUCCUUAAUCAUAGCAGAGGCUUCAGGAUCCUAUGUGGGCUUGGAUCUGCAAGUGAAAUAAAUCAUAGCAUGUGUCUCAGACUGGAUAGCUAAGUGGUGUCCCUCUGCCAUGGAAAGGAGUGGGCAGGCGCUGCUCCUGCUGCCGUUCCUAGGAGUUCAUCCUGCCCUCUAAUGCAGUACUCGGCUAGAUUGUCACUACUGACAAUUAACCAAAUGUUACCACACCACUCAUUAGUCUGAAUCCUGUAAAAGUACCCAACAGCACUACAUCACUCAUCACUGUGUUCACCCUUGGAAGGACCACAAGAGCUUCACUGCCUGUUGGCACCUCCCGUCAGCAGCUGCUCUUGCCAUCUACAUGUCUGUCCUGCCUCACACUUCAUGUCCGUAGAGAGGUUAUACAAGGAGCUAACCUUGUAACACUGAAUUACAAAGUUGGGAGGGCGGUAGUAAAAGUGGGGUUUUAUUCAAACCAAUGUAGUGCUAAGAUGGAUUUGGGAAACAUAGAUUCAGGUCAUUUAGAAAUCAAUAAUCAAACCUAUUAUAAAUUCACAAAUACAUUUCUGCAUUUUUUCCUUACAAAGUUUUUUGCAAACUGCAGUUGAAAUACCUAAGAACUUUCUAUCCACUAAAAUGCUGGGUUACAAAUGAAAUGUGGAAACUGCAGGCCUUUGAGUUAUUCAGGCCAAAUGAGCUGGUUCAGGGAACAGACUGUGAAGGACAGACUUGUACAAAGCAUAUUCUCUCCAUUUUCAACAGACUUCUGGGAUAGACUCAGCUUUGGCGGUACUGUGUGACCUGAAUUUCACAGUCUGCCUAGAAGCGCAAAUCUGGCUGGGAAAAAAAGAAAUGCAAGAAUGCAGGAGGUCCUUGUUUUCCACUUCUUCUCUGUCUUCCAUUUUAACUGUAUAGGAGAGAGAACAAGAGAGUAAGAGUGUCUGAAGAACUGCAUUAUGUACUGUGUGCCCUGAAGUACAGAAUAUCAGGGACCUGAGGAAUAGCCCGAGGUGAACAACUGAUGCUGGGCUUUAUGAUGAAUUCAGGUGUGUAAGUGGGAUAAAACCAUUGAAGUUGGUGGGAGGCAUCAGCACUCAAAAGUUUUCAUGAGGAUACAGGUAUACUAGAUCUUACAGGAACUUGUAGCACAUAUUGUUGUUUUCUCUAUAACUACAUCUGAACAUGAUGGGAUUUGUGUCACCAAAGUAAUAUAGAAAGAAGAAACUACAUCCCUGAGAAACUUAAGCCCCACAGAAAGCCCACACCCUUGUUUGACAAUUUUUGAAUUACCAAGGCUUCUGUGUAACAAACAUGCAACCAGCCUUGUCUAUCAGAAAGAUUCAGAAAUUAUUUAAGAUUAGCACAUCUAACUCUGGGUAAGCAGGCGACACAGCACUAUUCUCUUUCGCAACUCCAUUUUUAAAAUUGUCUGCUCGGAUUUCUUCCCAUCCCUAAGCUGCAUGUUUUACAAUGGGAGGAGAGAAAAGGUAAAAAAAGGGCACAGCAAGGGCUGACUACUCAAUAGAGAGCCAGGAGCCAAACACCAUAGCACAGCUGUCAAGGCAGUGGCCUCCAAAGGCCUCCCCCUCCUCCUGAGCAGGAUCAACAGGAGAGGCCCAGAGGCUGUGGCCAGGUCUACCAAGCCUAGACCACCUGUCUUGACGCCAUGGACCUGCCUGACAAUGACUUGACCAUGUAACCCUGGUUACUGUCACUAGACCUGAUCCUGACCCAUGGACUGAUGUCGUGGCUGGACCUUGUCACCACAAACUGCCCCGAUGCUCUGGUUGGCUCUGGCUGCCAUCGCCAGUGCUGCCCUGUGCCCUGCACACAGGUGUGCCCUCAGUGCCACACUGGGAGGCCCCUGCCCCACCUGCCUUGUGGCCACUCACCUCCUGGUUCUCCAUCCCUCAGUGAGUCCCUGGACUCACUGCCCUCUGGCAGGUUUACUCUGAGCCUCUGGAUGAGAAGGGCAACUUGGAUAUUUUUCUGUAUUUCUGCCCAAAGGCAGGCUCAUGACAAUCAUCCUGUGGGCAUUAGGUCUGACUAAUCUGACAUGGAGGGGGAAAUCUCCCAGCGUCAGUGUGAGUCAAAGUGUGGAGUUCACAUGGACAUUGAUUAUAAACACUCAUCCGAGGCCUCAUCCGCGUGCUCCUGGCUGAGUCCUACAUGAGUAGGAAGGGACUGACAGCAUUCUCACCACUGCAGCAGGUUAUUGCACUGGGAUCUGGAAGAACAGUAGGUGACAGAGAGGUCCUGAGGAAUGACAGGAAAACACUGCAGGAUGCCAUCAAAGACAUUAUUGAUCCGCUCACAGGAAUGAAAUGUCUCAGAAUGAUUAUGAUUAACUGCAGGGUUUACUUAAGAACGAAGGAUCAAUACUGAGCUUGGGAAGAAUGAUUUGGGGGCAUAAUGAGUUUCUCUCUUUGUGACAUUGAAUGAUAAACUCCCAGUUCUCAUACACUGGGAGAGAAAAAACAUGUUUUCCUGUAAGUAAAAACUGCCAGGUUUGCCAUCUUUCUGAGGAUGCAUAUAGAAAAUGAAGGCUGUAGGGGAGACAAAAUGAAUUCAAGCAGUGACCAGUGCACUCAGCUGCAUUUCUCAGACUCAGUGCUUUCAGGCUUCAUAAGGGAAAUACAAAGCCCAUGUAUACUCCCCCAGCUCAAUUUACUGGUAAGAACCUUUGUGAGAGCAAGAUGGGAGGUUCUUACAGGAAGAAGGCCAGCAUACAAGAGAGAACUUCAGGAGAAAUGCUGGAAGGCAAGACAGCAAUAAUGACGAGGUUGAAUAUUUUAAAGACUAAACUCCAAAGGGCCUGAAGACCACAGCAGUAAUCCAGCUAGAAAGUGCUGAAUGAUGGUAGUGAGCUACCUUGAUAUGGGUCUGCAUUUGAAAAAACUAUUUCUUUUGUUGCAGGUUACAACUAUUCAAACAGUAACUAGAGAGACAAUUUGUAAGAUCAAUCAGAAUUCAACCCUUCCCUUACUCAUCAGCUUGUACUUUUUGUCAUGAACACUCACAGCAGACACAAAAAUGUUUUAAGUGUUUUAGUCAGGGAUACAUGAUUUCACCAGCUUUCUUCAAGCCCUUCCACUUCCACAAAAAAAAACAAAACCAAAACCAAAACCCCAAACAAAAAAAACCCCCCAAAGCAAACUAACCAACCAAACAAAAAAAACCCAAAGCAAACCAACCAACCAAAUAACAAAACCAGCAAAACAAAACAACAACAACAAAGAAAAAAAACAAACAAAAAAACCCAAACAAACAAAAAAAACACCCUAACAACAGCAACGAUGAUGACAAAAUAUGUAAUGCAGAUCUGCUUAUUGCUUUGUUUUACAAAAAUCACAACAAUUUGUCAUGCUCCAUACAAGAAGCUUUUCCUCUCACGGACUCAGUCAGAUGUUAAAAAUGUAACAUAAAAGAUUUUUCUGUUCUCAUAAAUGUGACUUGCCAACAAAGAAGUUUGUUCUGCAUGAGGUACUACUGGAUCGAUAAGUAAAAGGCUGGGAGGAAAUGUAACCUACCAAAGAAUAGACACAUUUUGCUGGAACGAUAUGUUGUCAUUAGGUAUAAUUGGGCAAGUGGCAGUGUGAUCUCCAAAGCCUCAGCUGAUCAUAUUCCCCUGAGUGCAUUAAUAAUUUUGGGGAAAAGUGCAUUAACUAUGCCUUGCUUUAUUGUACUGCCAAAGUGGAGAGCAGGUGUUAGAAAACAAGUUUGUAAUCUUUCCUUCCUUUGCAAAUGAAUUCUUAUUCACUUUGGCUCUUAUUUCCAUACAAAAUCUAACUUUUUGAUAAUUAUGAGAGCAACUUGGCAGCUCCACUUUCAUGGCUCAGGUAAGUAGCAGAUUCAAGAGGCUUUUAAUUCCUAAUAAUACUAAUACAUAUAGCUUAUUCAGGUCUUUCUAAAAAGGCAGAUAACAUCACGUCCACCCUUGACAAAAUAAGCAAAGAUCAACAACACAAUUAUUGCCAUUCUAGGAUUACUUGCACUGAGAAGGUUUUAUUACAUCAGGAUGAAAGCAGAGUAUCAUUUCAGUCUUUGUCAUGGGAAUGUCUAGCUCUGUGCCAAAUUUUGACCCUUCUUGAUACAUCUGAUUAGUAUGCUGAAUUAAAUCAACUAGGGCUGAGAAGUCCCUACAAUUUAUGCAAACAUAAAUUUGGAGCAGUGUGGAUAGGAAGAAAGAGGAAUGAGAGUGUCUUUUCAGUGAUUGUGUGCAAUUAGAUCUGAUUGUGGUUUACAGUGACACAGAUGACAGGUCUAACACUAGCUGCCCCAAUUCUACUCUCAGUACUCCAGCUGGGUGACUGUGCUCCAACUCUUGCACCACCAAUUUCAUCUAAAACUAGUGAGUUCUUUGAAUGAAGAAAAAUAUCAGAAAAUUAUCACCAACUGCUGCUUAAUUUCAGGGUCACCAACUGAGUGUUUUAGUUUUCUCCCCAGUCUUUCUGCCCCCCUAAAGGCAGUUCUUCCCUGUGACAGAUGCCCAAAGAAAAAAGGCUCCCCUGCUGAAGAUCCCUGGUGGAAGCAUACAUGUCACCUGGCCUAACGACUCAGACUUCUUUCUUUGCUCUUCAGUGGCUAAAUUAGGAAGUCAGAGUGUUCUUGUUUCCAAGUCUCAUAUGAGAUGUGAGACUUAAUUUAAAGACAUCUUGUUCAGUCAGAAGCAUCUAAAUUGUCAUUGAUUGUUUUUCCAUUGUUGGAUAUGUAAGUCUCUUUAAAAACAAACUGUUCGUUAUUUGUGCUCUGUUCCCAUUGCUAGACAGGCUACAGGGUUUGUGUUAAUAUUACUGGGAUAAGACAAAUACAAGUUUGAACAAGUCAAGCCUAAACUCUUACACUCCUGAGUACCAGGAGAAUUGCCACUUGAGACAGUUGUUCAGGCACAGUCGCGUUAAUUAGAAACAUCUGCAAGGAUCCUGGAGAAAAUCACAUCUGGUUGGAAAAUUUCCACCAUCAUUUGGAUGCUGAAAAUUCAAUAACACAAGGACAAUAUUACUUUAUACCAGUUAAAGAUAAUAGCAUGGCUAUAGCUCCCCUUUGGUUCACUGAGCUCUGAACAGCACAGCAAGCACCUGCAGGUACAACUCUCUAAGCAGUGUUAGGGAAAUGUCCCUGUCUGACCAUCCAGGAGCCACUCUGGCAUUCACAUUUGCACCACCUGAGCUGGGACUGAGGCCCCUUUGCAGUUUCUACUCCCUCUCAAAGACCAGUUUUCCUUACCUGGCUCAGACAUGAAUAUAUUUUCUGAAGUAGAUAAACAUUAAAUAAGCAAAGAUCUUUUAGCAACCUCCAGCAAUAUCAAGUAAGAUGACACAAUAUCAUUUACUUAUUUAACUUAAUCUUUUCACUUGGGUUCCUAGGAGAUAACACUUAAAUUCUGCUACAGUCACAAACUUACUCUACAUCUAUACAAUUUAAAGGGUUGAAGUUGAUUCACAUGCUAUAGUAGG